UACGUAGGGGGCAAGCGUGGUCGGGAAUCAUUGGGCGUAAAGCGCGGGUAGGCGGCUUGGUAAGUCUGCUCUGAAAGCCCGGGGCUCAACCCUGGGAGGCGGGUGGAUACUGCCGAGCUCGAGUCCGGAAGAGGCGAGUGGAAUUCCUGGUGUAGCGGUGAAAUGCGCAGAUAUCAGGAGGAACACCAAUGGCGAAGGCAGCUCGCUGGGACGGUACUGACGCUGAGACGCGAAAGCGUGGGGAGCAAACAGG
rnacentral:rRNA from 1 species